rnacentral:tRNA from 1 species
AGGCGCGUAGCUCAGUGGUUAGAGCACCACUUUCACAUAGUGGGGGUCGUUGGUUCAAAUCCAAUCGCGCCUACCA